UCUAUCCUUAUCCAGUGAACAUUUUGUACAGGCUAAAUAUGAAGGGAUGGGUAAACACUGCUUUUUAAAUAUUCAAAGUUAAAUUAAUAUCUAUUUAAGUUAAGAUAUUGGGAUACACACCAAAACCUAUUAAAAAGAAGAUGCAGUAACUAAAAUAUUUGAUGACAGCAAGCCUAAGAAAUAAGAGAAAAUAGCUCAAAAAGAUGAGGAAAAGCAGGAUACGUGUAAUACUUUCAAAAAUCAUCACAGCACUAGCACAUUUUGUAUUAUACUAUUGUUUUUAAAGAAAUUGAAAAUGUACAAGUAAACAAAUGAAGUAUAGUAUAUAUGAAGUAUAGUAUAUAUGAAGUAAGUAUAUAUGAUUAAUUAGUCAUUAUUUUUCAGCUAAUCCAUUUUCUUUUGGAAACCAAAGAAAACUCAUAUGCAGAACCUAUUGACCAACCUGGACUAUCAGCAUCUAAGGAAACAGCUCAAUGAAGACAUGAAUAGUGACAAAAAUAUCCCACUCUCAAUCCAUAUUGAAGAAUAAAUCAACUUUGUGCAACAUAUACAGAUAGAAUUGCCCAGUCAUUGUCCAUCAUAUGUGCUAAGGAAUGUUCAAGUGAAGAAUGAAGAAGUGAAGAUAAUGAACAAUCCUGUAUAAAGAAUACAAAAUUAAAAGUUUAAGAAUUAA